rnacentral:rRNA from 1 species
GACGUAGGGCGCGAGCGUUGUCCGGAUUUAUUGGGCGUAAAGAGCUCGUAGGCGGCUUGUCGCGUCGUCCGUGAAAACCUGCAGCUCAACUGCAGGCUUGCGGUCGAUACGGGCAGGCUAGAGUUCGGUAGGGGAGACUGGAAUUCCUGGUGUAGCGGUGAAAUGCGCAGAUAUCAGGAGGAACACCGGUGGCGAAGGCGGCUUCCUGGACCGACACUGACGCUGAGGCGCGAAAGCUAGGGGAGCAAACGGG